CCCUCGUUGCCUGAUCACUACUCCUUGCACGUAAUACGCAAUGCCGGAGCAAAAUAUCCCCUGAUCGAUCACGAAUUCGAUAUUAAAACUGCUGAAAUACUUUGUUUUAUGUGCAUGAUCAUGGCUGCCAAGCAAAGAGGCUAUGUUGGGGCCACUUACAGAGUACGCUGCACCGAGAAGCCUCGAGUCCCAACCGACUUUCCACGCACUUAGAUCGCGAACCAUGAUGAGUGACACACCUGUACCUCCAACCAUCCCCG